UCAAUUUGAUGCUAUAUCUACAA
rnacentral:snRNA from 1 species